CGGGACGAUAUGCUCACCACGGUGUCGCGUGUUGCGGUGAUGAGCUUGCUAAUACUGUCAGCUAAGUGGUGUCGGGCCGAAAUAUAUGGGUAAUGUGCCUUGAAGAAGGGGAUAACAGUUGGAAACGACUGCUAAGACCCUAUAUGCCUUUAAAACAAAAGUUUGCAAGGGAAAUAUUUAUAGCUUCAAGAUCGGCCUGUACAGUAUCAGUUAGUUGGUGAGGUAAUGGCUCACCAAGACAAUGACGCUUAACUGGUUUGAGAGGAUGAUCAGUCACACUGGAACUGAGACACGGUCCAGACUCCUACGGGAGGCAGCAGUGGGGAAUAUUGCACAAUGGGGGAAACCCUGAUGCAGCAACGCCGCGUGGAGGAUGACACAUUUCGGUGCGUAAACUCCUUUUAUAUAGGAAGAUAAUGACGGUACUAUAUGAAUAAGCGCCGGCUAACUCCGUGCCAGCAGCCGCGGUAAUACGGAGGGCGCAAGCGUUACUCGGAAUCACUGGGCGUAAAGAGCGUGUAGGCGGAUAGAUAAGUUGGGAGUGAAAUCCUAUGGCUCAACCAUAGAACUGCUUCCAAAACUGUCUAUCUAGAGUAUGGGAGAGGUAGAUGGAAUUUCUGGUGUAGGGGUAAAAUCCGUAGAGAUCAGAAGGAAUACCGAUUGCGAAGGCGAUCUACUGGAACAUUACUGACGCUGAGACGCGAAAGCGUGGGGAGCAAACAGGAUUAGAUACCCUGGUAGUCCACGCCCUAAACGAUGUACACUAGUUGUUGUGAGGCUAGACCUUGCAGUAAUGCAGUUAACACAUUAAGUGUACCGCCUGGGGAGUACGGUCGCAAGAUUAAAACUCAAAGGAAUAGACGGGGACCCGCACAAGCGGUGGAGCAUGUGGUUUAAUUCGACGAUACACGAAGAACCUUACCUGGUCUUGACAUAGUAAGAACUUUCCAGAGAUGGAUUGUGUCUGCUUGCAGAAACUUAUAUACAGGUGCUGCACGGCUGUCGUCAGCUCGUGUCGUGAGAUGUUGGGUUAAGUCCCGCAACGAGCGCAAUCCUCGUCGUUAGUGCUUACAGUCGGCUGAAAACUCUAACGAGACUGCCUACGCAAGUAGGAGGAA
rnacentral:rRNA from 1 species